UACGUAGGGCGCAAGCGUUGUCCGGAAUUAUUGGGCGUAAAGAGCUCGUAGGCGGCUUGUCACGUCGGGUGUGAAAGCCCGGGGCUUAACCCCGGGUCUGCAUUCGAUACGGGCAGGCUAGAGUGUGGUAGGGGAGAUCGGAAUUCCUGGUGUAGCGGUGAAAUGCGCAGAUAUCAGGAGGAACACCGGCGGCGAAGGCGGGUCUCUGGGCAGUAACUGACGCUGAGGAGCGAAAGCGUGGGUAGCGAACAGG
rnacentral:rRNA from 1 species